AUACGGAGGAUCCGAGCGUUAUCCGGAUUUAUUGGGUUUAAAGGGAGCGUAGGUGGGAUAUUAAGUCAGCUGUGAAAGUUUGGGGCUCAACCUUAAAAUUGCAGUUGAUACUGGUUUCCUUGAGUACGGUACAGGUGGGCGGAAUUCGUGGUGUAGCGGUGAAAUGCAUAGAUAUGACGAAGAACACCGAUUGCGUAGGCAGCUGACCAGACCGCAAAUGACGCUCAUGCACGAAAGUGCGGGGAUCGAACAGGAUUAGAUACCCUGGUAGUCCGCACAGUAAACGAUGAAUACUUGUUUUCGGCGAUGUAAUGUCGGAGGCAAAGCGAAAGCGAUAAGUAUUCCACCUGGGGAGUACGCCGGCAACGGUGAAACUUAAAGGAAUUGACGGGG
rnacentral:rRNA from 1 species